AAGUCAACAUUUUUUGUAAUGUUAAUUUCUUUCUUAUUAUGAGUAAUAGGAUAACUAUAUUUAGUAUGUGCGUACCUUGCAAGGUCUUCAUGCCCGUCAGACAAUUUUCAUUUGACCUCAACCUCAUUUCAUGGAUCAGUGAACAAGGUUAAGUUUUCGUGGUCAAGUCCAUAUAUCAGGUACUAUAAGCAGUAGGUCUACUAUAUUUGGUAUAUGGAAUGAUUGUAAGGUGUACAUGUCCAACUGGUAGGUGUCAUCUGACCUUGACCUCAUUUUCAUGGUUCAGUAGUCAAAGUUAAGUUUUUGAGUUUUGGUCUUUUUUUCUAAUACUAUAUGCAAUAGGUCAACUAUAAAUGGUGUAUGGAAAUAUUUUAUGAUGUACAUGUCAGUCUCACAGGUUUUAUUUGACCAUGACCUCAUUUUCACGGUUCAUUUCUCAGUGUUAAGUUUUUGUCGAGCCUGCGACUUUUGUCGAAGAAAGCUCGACAUAGGGAUAGUGAUCCGGCGGCGGCGGCGUUAGCUAACUUCUUAAAAGCUUUAUAUUUUAGAAGGUGGAAGGUCUGGAUGCUUCAUACUUUGUAUAUGGAUGCCUCAUGUUACGAAGUUUCUGUCAGUCACAUGUCCAAUGUCCUUGACCUCAUUUUCAUGGUUCAGUGACUACUUGAAAAAAAAGUUAAGAUUUUUUGUAAUGUUAGAUUGUCUCUUAUUAUAAGUAAUAGGAUAACUAUAUUUGGUAUGUGCGUACCUUGCAAGGUCCUCAUGCCCGUCAGACAGUUUUCACUUGACCUCAACCUCAUUUCAUGGAUCAGUGAACAAGGUUAAGUUUUGGUGGUCAAGUCCAUAUCUCAGAUACUAUGAGCAAUAGGUCUAGUAUAUUCGGUGUAUGGAAGGACUGUAAGGUGUACAUGUCCAACUGGCAGGUGUCAUCUGACCUUGACCUCAUUUUCAUGGUUCAGUGGUUAUAGUUAAGUUUUUGUGUAUUGGUCUGUUUUUCUUAUACUGUAUGCCAUAGGUCUACUAUAUUUGGUGAAUGGAAUGAUUGUAAGGUGUACAUGUCUAGCGGGCAGGUGUCAUCUGACCUUGACCUCAUUUUCAUGGUUCAGUGGUUAUAGUUAAGUUUUUGUGUAUUGGUCUGUUUUUCUUAUACUGUAUGCCAUAGGUCUACUAUAUUUGGUGUAUGGAAUGAUUGUAAGGUGUACAUGUCUAGCGGGCAGGUGUCAUCCGACCUUGACCUCAUUUUCAUGGUUCAGUGGUCAAAGUUAAGUUUUUGAGUUUUGGUCUUUUUUUCUAAUACUAUAUGCAAUAGUUCAACUAUAUUUCGUAUGUGCGUACCUUGCAAGGUCCUCAUGCCCGUCAGACAGUUUUCACUUGACCUCAACCUCAUUUCAUGGAUCAGUGAACAAGGUUAAGUUUUAGUGGUCAAGUCCAUAUCUCAGAUACUAUGAGCAAUAGGUCUAGUAUAUUCGGUGUAUGGAAGGACUGUAAGGUGUACAUGUCCAACUGGCAGGUGUCAUCUGACCUUGACCUCAUUUUCAUGGUUCAGUGGUUAUAGUUAAGUUUUUGUGUAUUGGUCUGUUUUUCUUAUACUGUAUGCCAUAGGUCUACUAUAUUUGGUGUAUGGAAUGAUUGUAAGGUGUACAUGUCUAGCGGGCAGGUGUCAUCCGACCUUGACCUCAUUUUCAUGGUUCAGUGGUCAAAGUUAAGUUUUUGAGUUUUGGUCUUUUUUUCUAAUACUAUAUGCAAUAGUUCAACUAUAUUUCGUAUGUGCGUACCUUGCAAGGUCCUCAUGCCCGUCAGACAGUUUUCACUUGACCUCAACCUCAUUUCAUGGAUCAGUGAACAAGGUUAAGUUUUGGUGGUCAAGUCCAUAUCUCAGAUACUAUGAGCAAUAGGUCUAGUAUAUUCGGUGUAUGGAAGGACUGUAAGGUGUACAUGUCCAACUGGCAGGUGUCAUCUGACCUUGACCUCAUUUUCAUGGUUCAGUGGUUAUAGUUAAGUUUUUGUGUAUUGGUCUGUUUUUCUUAUACUGUAUGCCAUAGGUCUACUAUAUUUGGUGAAUGGAAUGAUUGUAAGGUGUACAUGUCUAGCGGGCAGGUGUCAUCCGACCUUGACCUCAUUUUCAUGGUUCAGUGGUCAAAGUUAAGUUUUUGAGUUUUGGUCUUUUUUUCUAAUACUAUAUGCAAUAGUUCAACUAUAUUUGGUAUGUGCGUACCUUGCAAGGUCCUCAUGCCCGUCAGACAGUUUUCACUUGACCUCAACCUCAUUUCAUGGAUCAGUGAACAAGGUUAAGUUUUAGUGGUCAAGUCCAUAUCUCAGAUACUAUAAGCAAUAGGUCUAGUAUAUUCGGUGUAUGGAAGGACUGUAAGGUGUACAUGUCCAACUGGCAGGUGUCAUCUGACCUUGACCUCAUUUUCAUGGUUCAGUGGUUAUAGUUAAGUUUUGGUGUUUUGGUCUGUUUUUCUUAUACUGUAUGCCAUAGGUCUACUAUAUUUGGUGUAUGGAAUGAUUGUAAGGUGUACAUGUCUAGCUUGCAGGUGUCAUCCGACCUUGACCUCAUUUUCAUGGUUCAGUGGUCAAAGUUAAGUUUUUUGAGUUUUGGUCUUUUUUUCUAAUACUUUAUGCAAUAGUUCAACUAUAUUUGGGGUAUGGAAAUAUUUUAUGAUCUAUUUGGCAGUCAUGCAGGUUUUAUUUGACCUUGACCUCAUUUUCAAGGUUCAUUGCUCAGUGUUAAGUUUUUGUGUUUUGGUCUGUUUUUCUUAAACUAUAAGCAAUAGGUCAACUAUAUUUGUUGUAUGGAAGAAUUGUUAGCUGUACAUGCCUGUCUAGCAUGGUUCAUCAGACCUUGACCUCAAUUUCAUGGUUCAUUGGUCAAUGUUUAGUUUACUUGGUUAAUGUUAAGUUUAUGUGACAGUUGUAAUAAAGCUUUAUAUUUAGGACUAUCAACAUAAUAUCAAUGAUUAGUAAAGAAGGCGAGACAUUUCAGCGCGUGCACUCUUGU